UUUUAUAUAACAAUUAAAUAUGUGUGUUUGUACAAUUUUAAGUAUAACGGAGGACAUUUCUGAAACUUAUAUAUACAACAAACCUUUCUCUUAUUUAUACAACAUUUAAACAUCCUUAUACUUAAUGUAGUAAGUCGAGUACACCCUAUCAAGCUAAAACAUGUUUCAUAAGUUUUCAGGAUGUGAAUUUAUUGAAAUAUAUUUGUGUUAUUUAGAAAAAUGCCA
rnacentral:lncRNA from 1 species